UAGUAUGCUUGUUUCUUCUGCAUUAUCACGAACCAGUCACCUUUAUUAAAUCCGUGGCAUUAUCUUAUAUCCCAGGCAUUAUUAAUGCGAAAUGCUUUAUUACACAAACGGUAUCUAGGCAUAUUAUGUUUUUCAAAACAACCAAUCAGUUUAAAGCGUUGGUUUUGUAUCACGUGAAUCCUAUCAACCAAUCAGAAAUAGCGCGGGCGAAAUGAAAAAAGAAAAAAAAUCGCGAUUGGAAAUGGAUAUUAAAAAUGCAGAAUAUUGCAAAACAAGGACAGUGUACAGCGUGAUUGAAAUCUUCCAGAAAUGCAGCUGUGCCCUCCUUACAGCAAUUAUUGAUGAAGCAAAGUAUGGUAGCAAGUUACAUAGAUAUACACACGUGCCAAAGAGAUGGUAAUAUUUGGAGAAAACAUUUCCUACGUCACGAAAUAGACACCGUCAUACUGGUCUACGUAACAUUCCUAUAGAUGAUUGAUAUAUAGAACAGUGUUUGAAUGACGAAUUUCUGUGAAUACGGAAUUUUAAUUUUAAUGAUUAUUAUUAAAACUUUCUGCAAUAAUCCAUUUGUGCUAUGGACUCAUUUUCCUAAAAUAAUAUGUGAAUGUUAACACGAACAAAUGAUAUUAAUAUCUGUAAAAUGUUUUAUGGGUGUAAUAUAAGUGGCUCGAAAAAAAUCAUUGUUAAGAUAAAUAGAAAAGAACUUCAAGUUGGUAUAGUUUGUUCUAGAUUUAAAUAACAUGCAAUUCAUAAAGGUUACGGCUUGAAAAUAUCGAAAAAUGUUCUGCACUGUGAUACGUUUUGCAUGACUGUAUCGCAACAUAUCGGUAUAUCGCCAUUCCGUUGUAACGCUACAUUAAUCUGUUCCUAUAGAAUGAGGCUUACAACAAUAUAUGUCUGUUGUAGCGAAAACAUGUUUAUUUUGUUUAAUAUAUGUAUACACAUUGAAUAUAUGUUGAUGAAAUAAUAAAUAUUUAAGAGUGACUUGAUUUGGUUUUUACUUUAUUAUUUGAAAUACUCCAAUUGUGAAGAUAAAGUUCUUAAGCAUAUGAAUUAACAGUUCCCAUUCACCAUGUGUAAUCAAAUAUGUUCUAUUGUACAAACCUGCAUUUCGGUCAUUUAUACGUGUCACGUAUAUGAAAAUGCUUUUGAUAUCAUAUGUACCCUCUUUUAUCUCAAAAAUACAGUUCUGUAUACCAUGUGUACAACUCAAAAAUGCAAUUCCGUAUAUCCCCUGUAUAUAUUGAAAAAACGAUUCCGUAUAUCUACUGUAUAUGUAGGAAAUACGAUUCCGUAUAUCUACUGUAUAUGGAGAAUAUACGAUUCCGUAUAUUA